rnacentral:tRNA from 1 species
GGAGAGAUGGCUCAGUGGUUAAGAGCACUGGCUGCUCUCCCAGAGGACCUGAGUUCAAAUCCCAGCACCCCA